GCAGUGUUGUACAAAGGCGUUGUGCAACGAUAGCUAGGCUCUGGCUGUACAGUCAUUGGUAUCCGGUUCUGGCCUCAAUCGCAAUUACAAGAUGAAUGUGGAAGCGACCGGUGGAUUACCUGGAUGGAAUUGAAAGACUUUGACGCGAUGUCUGGAUGGGGGCCACCAAUGUGUACUACCACAUUUUUCAAAUGCUGGAGGAAGAGGGCCACCUCGACCUGACAAACACCACCCACUUCUUCUGUCUGCAUUACGUCUUCCUGCCUCGUCUCCAGUUGACCUUGGACCUGUUUCGUGGAGGAUGGGACAACCACCCCUUGAGGACAGAGCAGAACAUGACACCAAACUAGCUAUGGGAGCUUGGUCAAAUGCAGCAUCCAAUUCCCGAUCCAGAGGAGUUAAACAUUCCUGAAAUAGAUUGGGAGCAGAGUGGAGACAUGCCAGAGAACCAUCUUGGAGUAAACGUUCCUCAGUUCGAGAGCCCACUCAGCCCAGAGGAACUCAGUGGACUGCAGGAACACAUUGAUCCGUUGCAGCAAUCACAGUCCAAUGGUGUGGACAUUUAUUUGGCAACGGUCACAUAUGUCCAAAACUUGGUAGAGAACCAUUAAAGGUAUAGUCAGUGAUUGUGUUAUUGAUUGGAGACUGUUUGUAGCAAAGAUUCUUGAGUGCAGCAAAUCUUUUGUUUGCAUUGCAGCUGCAGCCAGGGGGGGGGUGUUAGGGGGGUUUUCAGAGCCUGUGACGGUUGUCUGUUGAAUAUCAUAGAAAGACUGAAUUUCCUUACAUAGACCCAACAGAAUGAAGAGCUAGUGAGUUGUGUGAGUGAGUUGACUAUACCUGUGUACAAUUUGC